rfam:Felis catus isolate Cinnamon breed Abyssinian chromosome B4, whole genome shotgun sequence.
GCCUGGCUGGCUCAGUCAGUAGAGCACAUGACUCUUGAUCUUGGGGUUGUGACUUUGAGCCCCAUGUUGGGUG